rnacentral:rRNA from 1 species
AGAGUUUGAUCCUGGCUCAGAUUGAACGCUGGCGGCAUGCUUUACACAUGCAAGUCGAACGGCAGCACGGGGGCAACCCUGGUGGCGAGUGGCGAACGGGUGAGUAAUAUAUCGGAACAUAUCCGGAAGUGGGGGAUAACGUACCGAAAGGUACGCUAAUACCGCAUAUGCCCUGAGGGGGAAAGGGGGGGAUCGCAAGACCUCUCGCUUUCGGAGUGGCCGAUAUCGGAUUAGCUAGUUGGUGAGGUAAAGGCUCACCAAGGCGACGAUCCGUAGCUGGUCUGAGAGGACGACCAGCCACACUGGAACUGAGACACGGUCCAGACUCCUACGGGAGGCAGCAGUGGGGAAUUUUGGACAAUGGGCGAAAGCCUGAUCCAGCCAUGCCGCGUGAGUGAAGAAGGCCUUCGGGUUGUAAAGCUCUUUCAGCCGGAAAGAAA